rnacentral:rRNA from 1 species
AUGAGUCUCUUAUGGUGGAACUGUCGCGGAAUUGGCAAGGCCGCGACAGUUCGAGAGCUUCGCAAUUUAGCGAGGCAAUUUGCCCCCUCUAUUCUUUGCAUCCUUGAAACACAAAUAGAGGGUUCGAGAGUAGAGAAUUUGGCAGAAAGUUUGGGUUAUGAUAAAAGCUAUGCUGUAAGCAGUUCUGUAGGAGUGGGGGACUUGGUAUUUUUUGGAAAGAUGAAAUAA